AAGAAGCACCGGCUAACUACGUGCCAGCAGCCGCGGUAAUACGUAGGGUGCGAGCGUUAAUCGGAAUUACUGGGCGUAAAGCGUGCGCAGGCGGUUUGGUAAGACAGAUGUGAAAUCCCCGGGCUUAACCUGGGAACUGCAUUUGUGACUGCCAGACUAGAGUGUAGCAGAGGGGGGUAGAAUUCCACGUGUAGCAGUGAAAUGCGUAGAUAUGUGGAGGAAUACCGAUGGCGAAGGCAGCCCCCUGGGCUAACACUGACGCUCAUGCACGAAAGCGUGGGAAGCAA
rnacentral:rRNA from 1 species